UACGUAGCGUGCAAGCGUUGUCCGGAAUUACUGGGCGUAAAGCGCACGUAGGCGGACUUUUAAGUCAGGGGUGAAAUCCCGGGGCUCAACCUCGGAACUGCCUUUGAUACUGGAAGUCUUGAGUAUGGAAGAGGUAAGUGGAAUUCCGAGUGUAGAGGUGAAAUUCGUAGAUAUUCGGAAGAACACCAGUGGCGAAGGCGACUUACUGGACACAUAUUGACGCUGAGGUGCGAAAGCGUGGGGAGCAAACAGG
rnacentral:rRNA from 1 species